rnacentral:rRNA from 1 species
CGGUGGAGCAUGUGGUUUAAUUCGAAGCAACGCGAAGAACCUUACCAGGCCUUGACAUGCAGAGAACUUUCCAGAGAUGGAUUGGUGCCUUCGGGAACUCUGACACAGGUGCUGCAUGGCUGUCGUCAGCUCGUGUCGUGAGAUGUUGGGUUAAGUCCCGUAACGAGCGCAACCCUUGUCCUUAGUUACCAGCACGUUAUGGUGGGCACUCUAAGGAGACUGCCGGUGACAAACCGGAGGAAGGUGGGGAUGACGUCAAGUCAUCAUGGCCUUACGACCAGGGCUACACACGUACUACAAUGGCCGAUACAAAGGGCAGCGACACUGCGAGGUGAAGCCAAUCCCGUAAAAUCGGUCUCAGUCCGGAUUGGAGUCUGCAACUCGACUCCAUGAAGUUGGAAUCGCUAGUAAUCGUGGAUCAGCAUGCCACGGUGAAUACGUUCCCGGGCCUU